rnacentral:rRNA from 1 species
GCAUAAUAACUUGUCCAUUAAUUGUGGGCUAGAAUGAAAGGGGUAACGAAAUAAGAACUGUUUCAAUAUUAUAUCAUAUAAACUAUUUUUAAAGUGAAGAAACUUUUAUAAUAUUAAAGGACAAGAAGACCCUAUAGAACUUUAUCAAACACUAUAUCAUAUAUUUAAUGAUUCGGUUGGGGCGACCUAGGAUAAAUCAUCCUUACUAACAUAGAUCAAUUAAUCUCACCACAGAUCCAUUUAUGAACUCAAACCAAGCUACCUUAGGGAUAACAGGCUAAUCUUUCUCUAGAGUUCUUAUCAACAGAAAGGA